CUGUAUUUCAGUUUAGAAGGAGGACAGACCACUUGGAACUUCUCAGUUAGGGUCUUAGAAGAUGGGACAUCUGUCCCUUUCUGUGCCACCAAGGCUGUGGGGACAUGGCAAUCCGUGCGGGGCUCAUCCUGGAAGGGAGCCACUUGAGUCACUGCGAUGCCUAAGGAUCAGGUGAGUAAGCCACAGUGGUGGGUCUCCUUCGCUACAGCACU